GAUCAAAAUUGACCUUCCGUCUAUCUCUGUUUACUCCGAUUCUGUCGCCCAUUUUUAUGGAAAGAUUUUUUUAUUCCAUAUCAUAAAUGAUUCAUCUGAGAAUGAUUUGAAUGAGCAAAUUAAUAUUACGCAACACAUCUCAUCGAAGAUAUUCUGAAUUUUCAAGCAUCUUUAAUUGAUAUUUUGAAAAUCUCUCUCUCUCUCUCUCUCUCUCUCUCACAAAUCAAUAGCUACGAAAAUAUUACCCAUCCACAAGCUUUCAGUCCCAGCGCAUAGAGAAUGCGGCGAAUCUAGGGUUUUUGAAGAGACGAAAUGGCGAAAACGAAGGGUGGAUCUUGAGGUUCAUUAUAAUAUUCUAUAUGGAUAAGGUUCGUUGGGCAAAUUGCAAUGUGCGUAGGGAUUUUCCACUUUUUAGGAAUUGGAGUAGCAAGAAGCUUAGAGAUAGAGAGACGGUGGGAAUUAAUUCUGGUGGAUUUGGCGAUGGCGUGUUGAUGGAACCAAUUCCUUUACCUGAGGUCAGGAGACUGUCGCCAUUGGAAAAUUUGGCAAAGAUGGUGAAGGUUUUAUGUGAAGCAUAGAGAUGACAUGUCGUGUUUUAUAAACUCUGUUGAUGCUGCACUACUUGAGGAUGAAUGUUUUAGGAAGAGUUUAGAUGAUUAGUUGGUGGAUAUUUUAUGCCUCACGUUCAUACCUAUUUUGAGGAUGCAUCUAGAUGUUUUAUAUUAUAUUCCUACUGAAUAAAUGAAGGUUAUUUUCUUA